GACGAACGCUGGCGGCGUGCUUAACACAUGCAAGUCGAACGGAAAGGCCCGGCUUUUGUGGGGUGCUCGAGUGGCGAACGGGUGAGUAACACGUGAGUAACCUGCCCUUGACUGUGGGAUAACAUCAGGAAAAUGGGGCGAAUACCGGAGAGGAGCUACUGCUGCAUGGGGGGGGUUGGAAAGUGUCGGCGGUUGGGGAUGGACUCGCGGCUUACCAGCUGGUUGGUGGGGUAGUGGAUUACCACGGUUUUGACGGGUAGCCGGCCUGGGAGGGUGGCCGGCCUCCUUGGUCCUGCGGUACGGCCCAGUCUCCUACGGGCCGCAGCAGUGGGGAAUCUUGCGCAAUGGCCGCACGUCUGAUGCGGCAACGCCGCGUGCGUGAUGCCCUCCUUCUGGUUGUAAACCGCUUUCGACUUUGCCGAACCGUGAUUGACGGUACUGGGUCAAGAAGCCCCGGCUAACUACGUG
rnacentral:rRNA from 1 species